rnacentral:tRNA from 2 species
GGAGCUAUAGUGUAGUGGUAUCAUCACCCGAGAUUCUGAUUCUCGUGACCCAGGUUCGAUCCCUGGUAGCUCCU